rnacentral:rRNA from 1 species
ACUGAACGCUGGCGGCAGGCUUAACACAUGCAAGUCGAGCGGGGGAGGUUGCUUCGGUAACUGACCUAGCGGCGGACGGGUGAGUAAUGCUUAGGAAUCUGCCUAUUAGUGGGGGACAACAUUCCGAAAGGGAUGCUAAUACCGCAUACGCCCUACGGGGGAAAGCAGGGGAUCUUCGGACCUUGCGCUAAUAGAUGAGCCUAAGUCGGAUUAGCUAGUUGGUGGGGUAAAGGCCUACCAAGGCGACGAUCUGUAGCGGGUCUGAGAGGAUGAUCCGCCACACGGGGACUGGGACACGGCCCAGACUCCUACGGGAGGCAGCAGUGGGGAAUAUUGGACAAUGGGCGGAAGCCUGAUCCAGCCAUGCCGCGUGUGUGAAGAAGGCCUUUUGGUUGUAAAGCACUUUAAGCGAGGAGGAGGCUCUUAAGGUUAAUACCCUUGAUGAGUGGACGUUACUCGCAGAAUAAGCACCGGCUAACUUCGUGCCAGCCGCCGCCGUAACAC